GAUGUCCUAAAGUAUAAGCAACUAUACUGUGAAACUGCGAAUGGCUCAUUAAAUCAGUUAUCGUUUAUUUGAUAGUGCCUUACUACUUGGAUAACCGUGGUAAUUCUAGAGCUAAUACAUGCAUCAAGCCUCGACUUUUGGAGAGGUGUAUUUAUUAGAUAAAAAACCAAUGCCCUUGCGGGCUGCUUGGUGAAUCAUGAUAACUUAACGAAUCGCAUGGCCUUGCGCCGGCGAUGGUUCAUUCAAAUUUCUGCCCUAUCAACUUUCGAUUGUAGUUUAGUGGACUACAAUGGUUUCAACGGGUAACGGGGAAUUAGGGUUCGACUCCGGAGAGGGAGCCUGAGAAACGGCUACCACAUCCAAGGAAGGCAGCAGGCGCGCAAAUUACCCAAUCCCGACACGGGGAGGUAGUGACAAAAAAUACUGAUACAGGGCUCUUUUGGGUCUUGUAAUUGGAAUGAGUACAAUCUAAAUCCCUUAACGAGGAACAAUUGGAGGGCAAGUCUGGUGCCAGCAGCCGCGGUAAUUCCAGCUCCAAUAGCGUAUAUUAAAGUUGUUGCAGUUAAAAAGCUCGUAGUUGAACCUUGGGCCUGGCUGACCGGUCCGCCUCACCGCGUGCACUGGCUCGGCCGGGUCUUUCCUUCUGCGGAACGGCAUGCCCUUCGCUGGGCGUGUUCUGGGAAGCAGGACUUUUACUUUGAAAAAAUUAGAGUGUUCAAAGCAGGCCUUUGCUCGAAUACAUUAGCAUGGAAUAAUGGAAUAGGACGGCGCUCCUAUUUUGUUGGUUUCUAGGAGAGCCGUAAUGAUUAAUAGGGACAGUUGGGGGCAUCCGUAUUCAGUUGUCAGAGGUGAAAUUCUUGGAUUUACUGAAGACGAACUACUGCGAAAGCAUUUGCCAAAGAUGUUUUCAUUAAUCAGGGAACGAAAGUUAGGGGAUCGAAGACGAUCAGAUACCGUCGUAGUCUUAACCAUAAACUAUGCCGACUAGGGAUCGGGCGAUGUUAUUGUAUUGACUCGCUCGGCACCUUUCGAGAAAUCAAAGUGUUUGGGAUCUGGGGGGAGUAUGGUCG
rnacentral:rRNA from 1 species